GAUGAACGCUGGCGGCGUGCUUAACACAUGCAAGUCGAACGAUGAAGCCCAGCUUGCUGGGUGGGUUAGUGGCGAACGGGUGAGUAACACGUGAGUAUAAUGCCCUUAACUCUGGGAUAAGCCUGGGAGACAGGGUCGACUACCGGAUAGGAGCGCCCACCGCAUGGGGGGGGUUGGGAAGAUUUAUCGGUUUUGGAUGGACACGCGGCCUAUCAGCUUGUGGGUGAGGUAAUGGCGCACCAAGGCGACGACGGGUAGCCGGCCUGGGAGGGUGACCGGCCACACUGGGACUGAGACACGGCCCAGACUCCUACGGGAGGCAGCAGUGGGGAAUAUUGCACAAUGGGCGGAAGCCUGAUGCAGCGACGCCGCGUGGGGGAUGACGGCCUUCGGGUUGUAACCCUCUUUCAGUAGGGAAGGAGCGAAAGUGACGGUACCUGCAGAAGAAGCACCGGCUAACUACGUG
rnacentral:rRNA from 1 species